rnacentral:rRNA from 1 species
UGAGUAACACGUAUCCAACCUGCCGUCUACUCUUGGACAGCCUUCUGAAAGGAAGAUUAAUACAAGAUGGCAUCAUGAGUCCACAUGUUCACAUGAUUAAAGGUAUUCCGGUAGACGAUGGGGAUGCGUUCCAUUAGAUAGUAGGCGGGGUAACGGCCCACCUAGUCUUCGAUGGAUAGGGGUUCUGAGAGGAAGGUCCCCCACAUUGGGACUGAGACACGGUCCAA